rnacentral:rRNA from 1 species
CCUACGGGCGGCUGCAGUGGGGAAUAUUGCACAAUGGGCGCAAGCCUGAUGCAGCCAUGCCGCGUGUGUGAAGAAGGCCUUCGGGUUGUAAAGCACUUUCAGCGGGGAGGAAGGCGUUAAGGUUAAUAACCUUGGCGAUUGACGUUACCCGCAGAAGAAGCACCGGCUAACUCCGUGCCAGCAGCCGCGGUAAUACGGAGGGUGCAAGCGUUAAUCGGAAUUACUGGGCGUAAAGCGCACGCAGGCGGUCUGUCAAGUCGGAUGUGAAAUCCCCGGGCUCAACCUGGGAACUGCAUUCGAAACUGGCAGGCUAGAGUCUUGUAGAGGGGGGUAGAAUUCCAGGGGGAGCGGGGAAAUGCGUAGAGAUCUGGAGGAAUACCGGUGGCGAAGGCGGCCCCCUGGACAAAGACUGACGCUCAGGUGCGAAAGCGUUGGGAGCAAACAGGAUUAGAUACCCGUGUAGUC